CACGUAGGGGCCAAGCGUUGUCCGGAUUUAUUGGGCGUAAAGAGCUCGUAGGCGGUUCGACAAGUCGGGUGUGAAAACUCCGGGCUCAACCCGGAGACGCCACCCGAUACUGUCGUGACUGGAGUCCGGUAGGGGAGUGGGGAAUUCCUGGUGUAGCGGUGAAAUGCGCAGAUAUCGGGAGGAACACCAGUAGCGAAGGCGGCUCCCUGGGCCAUUCCUGACGCUGAGACGCGAAAGCGUGGGGAGCAAACAGG
rnacentral:rRNA from 1 species